rnacentral:lncRNA from 1 species
AAUCCUCGCAGUCCAGCCACAGGUGAAGGAGCCGGAGCCCCAGCGUGCCACGGAGAAACUCCUGGAAGAGGUCCAUGCCCGCCCUCUGCAGCACAGGUGGCAGGAAGACCCCCAAGAGGAGUCAUGCAAUGCCCAGCUGCAUCACACCAGACAGAUCCAAAGUAAUAGUUCUUGCUAAAUCACAGAAUCACAGAAUCACGGAAUGGUUGAAGUUGGAAGGGACCUCUGGAGAUCAUCUAGUCCAACCCCCCUGCUCAAGCAGGGUCACCUAGAGCACGUUGCACAGGAUCGCAUCCAGGCGGGUUUUGAAUAUCCCCAGAGAAGGAGACUCCACAAAGCCAAAGAAGGAUUAAGACCUGGCACAAGACUUAAAGGG